UGUUAUGGCGGCUGUGCGUGGGAGACCCUCGGGUCUGCCGGGUCCUAUGUGUCCGGUUCGCCAACCUGCGCACAGCCGUCACCCAU
rnacentral:antisense_RNA from 1 species